rnacentral:lncRNA from 1 species
AGGGUCUAUUUCUUCGAAAUCAUCACAAUCACAUAAUAUGUUCCAUGGAAUAAAAAAGGUGUGGUUGAAUGAGGUUGAGGUUGGUGUAGUAGAGUUUUUUAUGUGAACAUGAUGGGUGUAGCUAAAGUUAACGUAGAAGCGUUCACGUAGAGGAAAGUUUUGUGGGAUGGAGUUUUGGCUAGGUUCUACAAUUUCAACAGUAUAGAAAGGAUUUAUAGUGGAGGCCAUGGAAGAAUAAGAAUGGUGUAUGAUAUAUAUGAUUAGAAGAGAGGGUGAUAAUUGAU